AUGGAGUCAUGCCCGAGGAAAGAGGUGGACAACUUGGAGAAGCUAGUUGAAGAAAUUUUCUGCCUGUUUACUGAGGCAUUUUUCGGUCCAUACAGUUAUAUGAUCAAUCGAUUGAUCCGUUGCAGGUGUCAAGUGGGUACUUACAUCUUUGUAUUUCGACUUGAGAUCAAUGAAAACCAACUACAUUUGAGCAGCCCAAAAGGUAGUAGAGGAGCAACAAUAGUAGUGUGUGUUUUGUCUAGGUGCUUGUUUCAUGCCAGAGUGUCAUAUACAGAUACUGAUUGCUAUUGCAUAUAUGUGCUUCACUUGGCACAUUUGCUCCCAUGUUUCCACUUAGACCCUCUGUUUUAA
rnacentral:rRNA from 1 species